UACGUAGGUGACAAGCGUUGUCCGGAUUUAUUGGGCGUAAAGAGCUCGUAGGCGGCUCGUCGCGUCGACCGUGAAAACCCGCGGCUUAACUGCGGGCUUGCGGUUGAUACGGGCGGGCUAGAGUUCGGUAGGGGAGACUGGAAUUCCUGGUGUAGCGGUGAAAUGCGCAGAUAUCAGGAGGAACACCGGUGGCGAAGGCGGGUCUCUGGGCCGAUACUGACGCUGAGGAGCGAAAGCGUGGGGAGCGAACAGG
rnacentral:rRNA from 1 species